CGCGAAGAACCUUACCAAGUCUUGACAUAUAUCGGAGAUAUUAAGAAAUUAGUAUUUAAAGCACUUGUGCUUACUGAUAUACAGGUGGUGCAUGGUUGUCGUCAGCUCGUGUCGUGAGAUGUUGGGUUAAGUCCCAUAACGAGCGCAACCCCUGUCGUUAGUUACCAGCAUGAAAGAUGGGGACUCUAGCGAUACUGCCGGUGAUAAACCGGAGGAAGGUGGGGAUGACGUCAAAUCAUCAUGCCCUUUAUGACUUGGGCUACACACGUGCUACAAUGGCAGGUACAGAGGGAAGCGAGACUGUGAAGUGGAGCAAAACUCAAAAAGCCUGUCCCAGUUCGGAUUGCACUCUGCAACUCGAGUGCAUGAAGUCGGAGUUGCUAGUAAUCGCGAAUCAGAACGUCGCGGUGAAUGCGUUCCCGGGUCUUGUACACACC
rnacentral:rRNA from 1 species